AUUGAACGCUGGCGGCAGGCCUAACACAUGCAAGUCGAGCGGAUGAUGGGAGCUUGCCCCUGGAUUCAGCGGCGGACGGGUGAGUAAUGCCUAGGAAUCUGCCUGGUAGUGGGGGACAACGUUUCGAAAGGAACGCUAAUACCGCAUACGUCCUACGGGAGAAAGCAGGGGACCUUCGGGCCUUGCGCUAUCAGAUGAGCCUAGGUCGGAUUAGCUUGUUGGUGAGGUAAUGGCUCGCCAAGGCGACGAUCCGUAACUGGUCUGAGAGGAUGAUCAGUCACACUGGAACUGAGACACGGUCCAGACUCCUACGGGAGGCAGCAGUGGGGAAUAUUGGACAAUGGGCGAAAGCCUGAUCCAGCCAUGCCGCGUGUGUGAAGAAGGUCUUCGGAUUGUAAAGCACUUUAAGUUGGGAGGAAGGGUUGUAGAUUAAUACUCUGCAAUUUUGACGUUACCGACAGAAUAAGCACCGGCUAACUCUGUGCCAGCAGCCGCGGUAACAC
rnacentral:rRNA from 1 species